rnacentral:rRNA from 1 species
UACGAAGGGGGCUAGCGUUGCUCGGAAUCACUGGGCGUAAAGCGCACGUAGGCGGUCUUUUAAGUCAGGGGUGAAAUCCUGGAGCUCAACUCCAGAACUGCCUUUGAUACUGAAGAUCUUGAGUCCGGGAGAGGUGAGUGGAACUGCGAGUGUAGAGGUGAAAUUCGUAGAUAUUCGCAAGAACACCAGUGGCGAAGGCGGCUCACUGGCCCGGUACUGACGCUGAGGCACGAAAGCGUGGGGAGCAAACAGG